AGGAUGAACGCUGGCGGCGUGCUUAACACAUGCAAGUCGAGCGAAGCGUUAAAAUCGAUUUCUUCGGAUUGAAGUUUUAAUGACUGAGCGGCGGACGGGUGAGUAACGCGUGGGUGACCUGCCUCAUACAGGGGGAUAACAGACAGAAAUGUCUGCUAAUACCGCAUAAGCGCACAGUGCUGCAUGGCACAGUGUGAAAAACUCCGGUGGUAUGAGAUGGACCCGCGUCUGAUUAGCUAGUUGGUAAGGUAACGGCUUACCAAGGCGACGAUCAGUAGCCGGCCUGAGAGGGUGAACGGCCACAUUGGGACUGAGACACGGCCCAAACUCCUACGGGAGGCAGCAGUGGGGAAUAUUGCACAAUGGGGGAAACCCUGAUGCAGCGACGCCGCGUGAAGGAAGAAGUAUUUCGGUAUGUAAACUUCUAUCAGCAGGGAAGAAAAUGACGGUACCUGCAGAAGAAGCCCCGGCUAACUACGUGCCAGCAGCCGCGGUAAUACGUAGGGGGCAAGCGUUGUCCGGAAUCAUUGGGCGUAAAGAGCUCGUAGGCGGUUCAGUAAGUCGGGUGUGAAAGCUCCGAGCUCAACUCGGAGAGGCCACCCGAUACUGCUGUGACUAGAAUCCAGUAGGGGAGCGUGGAACUCCUGGUGUAGCGGUGAAAUGCGCAGAUAUCAGGAAGAACACCAGCGGCGAAGGCGGCGCUCUGGGCUGGAAUUGACGCUGAGGAGCGAAAGUGUGGGUAGCAAACAGGUUUAGAUACCCUGGUAGUCCACACCGUAAACGUUGGGCACUAGGUGUGGGGAGGAUCAACCCUUUCCGUGCCGUAGCUAACGCAUUAAGUGCCCCGCCUGGGGAGUACGGCCGCAAGGCUAAAA
rnacentral:rRNA from 1 species